GGUCCUGUCACCAGCGCCAAAGGGAAGUUUUAAAACUCUCUAGACUUUCUUGUCAAUAUGGAGUAAUUCAAAGUUCACUACUUUGCAGGAGGGGAGGAGACAGGCAUCAGGCAGAAGAUGACAGCUGGGCAAUGGCCAGAGGAAGGGGGCAGAGCGCAGGAUGUCUGGGCAACCUGAACUUCGAAUGGCCUUAUUUUGGAGUCCCUACCAUGACAGCAUCUCCUAUGGGCUCCAAAGGAGCUGAGAGGCAGAUGUGGGAUGCAACCGGCAGCAAGGCAGAGGCUUCAGCCAUGUUCCUCUUCUGCUGAGGCACCAGUAACAGGACCACUAGCACCAAUCACAUCUCAAUAGAGGAAAGCUGCAGCAGAGUAAACUGGCUCAGAAGCCUCAGUGCUGUGAGAAGGACCUGGACUGAGGUCGUCCAACCCUCAUCUCAUUUCAAGAGGGACAGAGUUGGGACUCUCUGCUAAGCUGGAGCAGAUGUUGGGGCCCUGCAGGGUUCUGCGUGUGGGGAACACAAACGAGCAUUUCUUGGUACUUCUUCAGGAUCUCCUUUGUGCCGGGUGAGUGAAGGCAGCCCAAGAAAACCAGGGAGC